rnacentral:rRNA from 1 species
GUGGGGAAUAUUGGACAAUGGGCGAAAGCCUGAUCCAGCCAUGCCGCGUGAGUGAUGAAGGCCUUAGGGUUGUAAAGCUCUUUCAGUAGGGAAGAUAAUGACGGUACCUACAGAAGAAGCCCCGGCUAACUUCGUGCCAGCAGCCGCGGUAAUACGAAGGGGGCUAGCGUUGUUCGGAUUUACUGGGCGUAAAGCGCACGUAGGCGGAUUGGUCAGUUAGAGGUGAAAUCCUGGAGCUCAACUCCAGAACUGGCUUUAAUACUGCCAGUCUAGAGUCCAGAAGAGGUGAGUGGAACUCCUAGUGUAGAGGUGGAAUUCGUAGAUAUUAGGAAGAACACCAGUGGCGAAGGCGGCUCACUGGUCUGGUACUGACGCUGGGGUGCGAAAGCGUGGGGAGCAAACAGGAUUAGAAACCCCGGUAGUCC